rnacentral:rRNA from 1 species
UGCAGUCGAGCGGAGAGGGAGCUUGCUCCUGGAUUCGGCGGCGGACGGGUGAGUAAUGCCUAGGAAUCUGCCUGGUAGUGGGGGAUAACGUCCGGAAGACGGGCGCUAAUACCGCAUACGUCCUGAGGGAGAAAGUGGGGGAUCUUCGGACCUCACGCUAUCAGAUGAGCCUAGGUCGGAUUAACUAGUUGGUGGGGUAAAGGCCUACCAAGGCGACGAUCCAUAACUGGUCUGAGAGGAUGAUCAAUCACACUGGAACUGAGACACAGUCCAGACUCCUACCGGAGGCAGCAGUGGGGAAUAUUGGACAAUGGGCGAAAGCCUGAUCCAGCCAUGCCGCGUGUGUGAAGAAGGUCUUCGGAUUGUAAAGCACUUUAAGUUGGGAGGAAGGGCAGUAAGUUAAUACCUUGCUGUUUUGACUGUUACCAACACAAUAAGCACCGGCUAACUUCGUGCCAGCAGCCGCGGUAAUACGAAGGGUGCAAGCGUUAAUCGGAAUUACUGGGCGUAAAGCGCGCGUAGGUGGUUCAUGCAAGUUGGAUGUGAAAUCCCCGGGCUCAACCUGGGAACUGCAUCCAUCACUACUGAGCUAGAGUACGGUAGAGGGUGGUGGAAUUUCCUGUGUAGCGGUGAAUGCUUAGAUAUAGGAUGGAACACCAGUGGCGAAGGCGACCACCUCCACUGAUACUGAC